AGCUCAGGUGCCAAUCUUUAAAAUGUAUAUGUAGAUAGAUAGAUAGAUAUCUCUGAUUAUUUCUUACUCCCACUAAAAAGCUUUUCCCCCUACUAAGAGGCCUUCUUUUUCUUAGAAGUAGCCUAAAAGAUUCAAGUUAUCUUCCUUUUGUUGCUAAGUUUUAUGUGAUGUGUUCUCUUUUGAUGACUUAUUUCAAAAGCCCUGUGCAUAGGUAGGGCCUUCCUUUUCUUUAUCAUCAGUUAGUUCUUACCUGGUCCCAGGUCUCUACAGUCUUAUUCUUCCCUCAGCAAAGGCUAUUGGUCCUAAUCACGAGCUCAGCUUACCUUAUUGUUCAAUCCAGACCUUGAACAGAAGAGAUUUAGGGGGCUCUAGCCUAAUGCUACAGGAUUCGUUAUCAAGUCACCUUUGCUGCUAGUCCAACUCUGACUGCUUGCCCAAGUUCUGAUUACAAAUCUGUCUCGUUCUCCAAGACCCACUUGUGCUUCAGUUUGGUUAACUGAGUUUCUGCCUUGCUUCCCUGUGGCUGGCAUCUGACAUAGUAUCUUCAACAAUCAGAGUCCUGUUUUGUUAUUACCAAGCUCCACUGUCAACCCUUCCCAGGGACUGGAAUCUGCUCCUGAACACCAGCCGAGUGGCUAAAGUUCUGUUACCAGCUGAUGGGAGUCCCUGAUGCUGACUCUCUGCCUACUUAGACUUCCAAAUUGCUUUCUUCUGGGUUCUCUAUUUCCUUUCUUUGGAGGGUACCCCACUCUGAGUAUCAGAACUCACGAUAUCAACUGUUUGAAUUUAUCUGUUGCUACACCAUUUAGAUAUCAUGCUGCUCUACACUUUCCCCCAGCACCUUGAGAGAGGACUGCCUACUCCUAACACCUUCCAUCAGGCUGUACCUGAUCUGAUGGGUGGGUCUGAUUCCAGGUACUGUGCCUCAGAAGCAGCUCCGUCAGGAAGCAGUUAACCCAACCAUGUAUCUAGAUUUUUACUUCGUCUUUCGUUAAUAGAGCUUUCUUGACUUCUAGCACUUGGUGGAAAUUAAAUAAUGUAGAAAUUUUGAGGCUAAACAUUAUUUUAGAGUGGAAAUAUUAAGUAGGAAUAUGAAUAGAAUACCAAUAUUAAGUCACAAUGUUCAUGUUAAUUCAAGUAAGGUAUUUUAAUUUGGGACUCUAUAUGGAAGACUUAAUUCACUUCCAAACAUUGAUGUCUCAGGACUUGAUGUAAUCCUACUCACAUAUGUUUCAUAUUAUUCAGUUUAAAGGGAAGGAAGAGUAACCAUUUUCUUCAAAUGGGAAACAUAACUCAAAGGAAUAAAUUUCCAAACACAUGAAAAUUAAUUGGCAUAUUCUUUGGAGAUAGAAAGAAUUUAUUUUAAUCAAUUUCAGCACCCAUGAAGAAUGAGCGCACGAGGAAGAAUAUUGUUUCUAGGCUGUGAAACAAUGUGACAGGCUCUGGCCUCAUUUUCUCUGCCUCUGUCAUCUUGACUUCCCACUAACUGGGUUUAGGGUCUCUACUGGUGUGUAUGGUACUACCACAGUCCCCAAACUGGUCAGUUCUGGAGGCUGGAGAUAACAAAGAACCUCAGCAUAGGCUGUACCCUCCUUCACUAAGUGGAGUGUCAUGUCUCUACCCUUAAGCCAACAGCCAUUCCUACAAUAUUCUUUCAAGAAACAUCUAACAUGCCAGGUUCUGAGCCAGGCACUGGGCAGAGGCAGAGCCAUGUUUUCUGUGACCGGAAGCUUAUACAAUUUGGGGGCCCUGUUUAAGAAAAAAAAUACUAAAUUACAAACCAAAAAGAGGUAUGAAAAUGAAUAGAAAAAAGAAAUCAUGACAAAUUUGUUUUUAAAAGUUGAUAAAUACCACUAAAAUGACAAAAUCUAGAACAAUCAUAUAAUAUUUUUAACUUACUGCCUAACAAUCUCUAGUACUUUUCCCCUAUUUUUUUUUGUCUGCGUACUCUUUGUUUCUUCAUAUAACAAUAAUUUUGUAAAUCUUUUUCCCAUAGAAAUAGUGGAGACUCCUCUAGCAUGGUUGAUCAAAAAUAAAUUUUUAAAUUGAAAGUUUAGAAAAAUUUCUUUCAGCCUCUCUAUUCAUUGUUAGUAAUAGCAUGUAAAUUUUUAAGAUUUGGGAAAACCCCUAUCAAGUUUCCUUCAUAGAUAAGCAGUAAGAUUUGAGGAAUUACAAAUCUUCUUGCACAGGAGCUAAUCUUAAUACUCUGAAUUAUCAUUGAUGUUCUCAUUGUAGUGGUGUCUUAUGAGUCUUAUCUUUAUUGAUUCAGUAUUUUAUGUUAAGUCAACAAGCAAUGUAAAUCUUUUAUCAGUGUAUUUAUGUGAUAACACUUUGAGAUACAGAAAACACUACAUACUCAACUGUGGGUAUUGUUUGGAACACUGCUACAGGUUUGUUCCCCCAAAACACAGGGAUGAUGAUAAAUUCAUCUGAUUCUCAUUAAAAUGGGAGAAAAGGGUAUAGUGCAUUUAUAAUUACACAAGCAACAUUGUCAAGUUCAUUCUAUACAGAACUUCUAUUUUGUUUAACAUUGACAAGAAUUAAAUUCUCCACUUAUAAUUAUACAUAUCUAAAGACUAGAAGAUUUUCCCCCAGACUAGCUUCUCGUUCCAUACAUUUCAAACCUAAUUUCUCCUCCACUACCUGUAUACUGCUAUUCUGGCCACUAUAGGACCUGUUCACAUCAUGAUACAACCUCUGGCCGCUUCGUCUUAGGGUCCUGAUACACCUGAUGUCAUGGAUGACUUAGGGGUAUUCCUGGGAGCCAUUCCUACAUUGAGAUGGCUAGCAAAAACUUAGCUAUACUCAAAAGUGACUACAAACUAUGUGAACAUUCCCACUAAACCCAAACGAUGUAUCUCCAUUUUAACUUUCCUUUAGCUGAAUCUACUUGCAGUUACUCCAACACUACACCAUGAAGGAAAAUGUGAGAAGCUCCAGUGAGGAUACUUUUACUUUGGUUGCAAGUGAAGUUAGAAUGUCUUACUUUUGCAAAUAUUGCAAUAACAUUUGACAUGUAAAGACAUUGCUAGGGCCCUCCUAGGCCCCUGUAAGUGAAAGGUCCCAAAGCUUAAACUUCAAUAGUUUCACAGGGAAUUUACUUCUGUCACAAGAGGAAAAACUAUAAAACAGACAUAAUCUCUGCCCCAGGCCUGGCCCACCUUUUUCUGGGAGUAGGGGAUGCAUGAGGUAAUACAGACAAGGAAAUAGGCUUCCAUAUUCUAUGAUUUGUCCUUACAUCAACCCUAAUAUGGACACAGUGUCCUAAUGCCGACUGCUGGACUCCUGUAUCAUGUGCCCAGAUUGACAUUUCCUUUCCACCACAUCCCCUCUCCCCUACCCUCACCCCGUGCUGUUUGCUUUUGUUUUGUUGGAAUUUUUUGGUCUUUGACCUUAUUUGUCUAUUUGUUGUUGUGGUUAUUGUAUGAGGAUCUCUGUUUAGGGUCUGAGUGGUCAGAAUUAGAGGCACACUCUACAGACAGGUGUGUGUGAUACUGAAGUCUGGCAAUUUCAGGAGCAAAAGGAAUUGUGGUUGGAUAGGCAAAGGUGGAAAUGAGAUUUGAAAAUGUGAGGGCACCCAAGACAGAUAGAAUUUGUGUGCACUUAAUUAUCAUUUUUGAAAGCCAUUUUGCGUAAUUGGUAUAACAAAAAGUAAUAACAAAAAGGAAGGAGGAUGUUUCUUUUUUUUUUUAAAUCACUUGCACAAUUGAAUGACUGAACUGUGGUAGUUUGUUUUUCUUGGUAAAAAUAAAAAUGUCCUUUAGCUAAUAUUCAUGCUGAUUAUAAUGAACAAUAAUACAAGCGAAUAAUAUGGGACUAUAUCUGUAUUUAGCAUUAGGAAGAAAGGAAGUCCUUAAAGGAGUUCUGAGAGAAACCCUAAAGAUGUACUCCAAGUUAUGGCUGCAAACAGUUUUCACAGGCCUCCCACUAUUGCUAAGUCUGUUAAGUAUUGAACCAUAUGUUUCUCUCAAGUGUAAAAAUAUGAAAUUGGAAAAUUUACUAAGAAGAAUUCUCCUGUUUCCCAUUAUAUCUGUUGCUCAGACUCCUUAUUGGAAAGUGCAUUGGCUAAUGUCCUGUGAAUCAUAUCCAUCAAUGACAUAUUGCUCAUUUUUGUUUUUUAUAGUAAUUAACUGUACUGGAACAUCAUGGUCUGGAAAAUUAUACUUCUUGUUUGUACAUGUAGCUUAAAAGGCUGUGUAAUUAUUCUGGUUAUAAAAUAUUGCAACGUACAUCUGCAGACAUGCUAGCUAUCAUGCGUUCUAUCUAAGGUUAAAAGAGAGAGAGAUAAUAUGAUAUUGGCCCUCAGUUUUACCAAUCAAAUUGACAUAGUAUUUUGUUCCAUAGUUUAGUAAUUAUUUAUAUUUACUAUCAUUUUAAUUGACAGAAGUUGGAUUAUAGUCAGUCUUCACAUUUACUUCCAAUUUUAGGGAAUGGAGCCCUGAUGUAUGCUUGUUAUAAAUAUAUCUUUUAAAGCAGUCUAUUAUAGAACUGCAAAUGAAAGUAAGUCAUACAUUUGAUUCUUCAAAAUUUUAGCGUCCUUAAUUAAUAGAUAAGGUAUUUUCAGGUAAAUCAAAAUUACUUUGGUCUAAGAUAAACAAGUCCUCUCUAAUCAAUGCAUAUUUCAUUUCUUUUGUCCAGGCGGUCUACCAGUAUGUAUAAGUAGAGGAACUUCUCAGUCUAUUUUUCUACUCUACUUACUUAAACACACUUUGCUUGUGGUGUAGGAAUCCCAGUGACUCUGAGCAAAAUUACUAAGUAGGUAAUGUUAGUCUUAGAUGCCUGCCUCUUUUUUCCUGAAGUCACCCUUGCCCAAAGGGCCCCAAUCUUAGGUACUCUAUCCUAAAUUUUUCCUUUCAGUUCCCAGUACUUCAUUCUGUAAGAUCAUGGGUGUCGUAAUUUCUUUCUGCGGUUUAAAUUUACCCGUUCUGUGUUUAUUUUCCCUAGGAUCCCAGGUUACACUAGUUCAUGUAAUUAAAAAAAAAAAAAAUCAAGGCAGAUGUAGUCAUAGGAGAGGGCUGAAAGAAUCAGGGAUCAGGGAAUGUAAGAAUCUACUAGAAAUGAUGCCCUUUCCUCAUCUAUAUUGUCUUGAUCAUUCAUUCACUUCACAGAUACAGGCAUACCUUAUUUUAUUGUACUUUGCUUUAUUCUGCUUCACAGAUAUUGCAUUUUUUUUACAAAUUGAAGGUUUGUGGCAACCCUGAGUUGAGCAAAUUUAUUGGUGCCAUUUUUCCAACAGCAUUUGGUCACUUUGUGUCUCAUUUUGACUGUUUCCUCUGAUCAUGCUUUAUGUCAUGUCUGUAUUACUUGAUGAAACACAAUGUGGUGUCUGAGAUACGGCCGUUUGAGUGGCCAGUCAGUGACAGACUUGCUUCUCACCUAUUGAAAACAAGUUGUAGCAGAGUUUGCCAGAUGUGCAUCUAAACACUGCCCUGCCUCCUUCUUCCACUCCAAUAAAAGACACAUGGCUGGCCAGCUAUACGGCAUGUCCUUGCUCCUCCUGCUAUUAGACGUGGUCAGGUGGGUAAGUUUACUUGAAUGUAAUUUGAGUAGUCUUGCCCUAUGAAAACCUCCCACACAUGCUCCUCCACGAUGGUAGCCUGGCUCCAAGAUGGAUCGCAACAAUUGACUCCUGGUAUUUAUGUCCCUGUGUAAUGCCCUCCUCUAUUGAAUAUGGCUGACGUAUGUAACUAAUAAGAUAUUGGAGAUAUGAUAGACUGUGAUUUCCAAGUCUAGGUCAUAAAAGAUAUUGCAACUUUUCUCUUACCCUUUUAGAUCAGUUUCUCUGAGGGAAGCCAGCUGCCAUGUUGUCAGGACAUUCAAACAAUUCUAUAGAGAGGUCUGUGUGGCAGAGAACUAAGGCCACCUGCCCACAACCAGCCACACUGGAAGUAAAUACUUCAGCCCUAGUUAAGCCUUCAAAUGACUUUAGCUACAACAAACAUCUAACUGCAAACUUGUGAAAGACUGAACCAGAACUGUUCAGCUAAGCCACUUCCAAAUUCCUGACCCACAGAAACUAUGAUAUGAUAAAUAUUAAAUUGUUGUUUUAUACUGCUAAGUUUGUUAUGCAGCAAUAGCUAACUGAUACAUCCAGUCAGCUGAAUGACAAUGCUUAUGGCAUUCUUGGAAGCCACCUGUAGAAGAGUACAGAGCUGUAAUCAGCUCAGGUUCCUGAAUGACUGUGUAAAGGAGAACCUUCUCCUCUAGUUUCUCCACUCCCCACAUCAACCUGGACUGUUGAGCGGGAAAUAAACUUCUUUAGAGCCAUUAUAUUUGGGCAUCUAGAUUUUACAAUAGUUUAGCCAGUCUUAACUAAUACAUAAACUUUGUAUUAUAUUUCUUUCUUACUUGAAGCCUUACGUAUAUAUGAGGAUAUUAUUCCUCUGAGCAAGGACUACUAUUGGAAUAGUUCUUUAAACACUAUCAGAAACAUUUUAUUGGUUAAAAGCUGUGUGAUUAAAUAUUCAAAGCACUUUCCCCACUUGCAAAUACUAUUUUAUUUGCCUAGAACUCCGUGUUUACUAGCAUAGUUGCAGUUGAUACUAUGGCACCCUGCCCAGAUCCCCUUUACUUACUUGAAACACCUACCCGCUGUAAGUGGAGAGAUCCUGUGAGUGGUGGCUGGUAAUGGCUUGCAGCUAACCCUUUUCUCCAGGGAAUUGCCAUCAACCAAUGGGAGCCAACUCACUCAGGAAAUCAUGCCCCCUCCAUAGAUGACCCACAACCAAUGGCCAAAUAACAUGAUGGUAUAAAAGUCCAGCCGUCUUGCCACAAAGGAUGACAGGUCUGUGUGCUGUUUAUAUCCAGAACCCUCUCCUCUGUAGAUUGGGCCAAGAUUAGACUUUACCUCAUCCUUGCUCGGCAGCUCUUUUUGCUUCUCCUUUUCCUCCCUUACAGGUUUUUCCCAAAGAGUGCUCCCUCAGUAACCCACAUUCACCCAAAUCCCUAUCUCAGAUUCUUCUUCCAAGGAAUCUGAUCUAAGACUACCUACUUCCAUGAAACUGGACAGGAGAGGUGAGAUCUUCUUCUCAGUUAUUUACAUUACUGAUAUAUUUGAUUCAUGAGUGAAGAAACUGUAUUCUCAGUCAAAAACCUUGAAAAAGACUUAAAAAGAGAAAAACAGUAGAGAAAUCUAAGAAAGCCAAAAGCUGAUCUGAAGAUAUCAAGAAAAUUGAUAAAUUCUAACAUUGAUAAAGAAAAAGAUACAACACAAACUAU